GAAAAAAGUAUGCUACACUAGAACCAAAAGUCCAUACGGCCCGGGGCCCGGGCGUCCCCAAAAACCUCACCCCUCUCUUAUCCGCCCCAACGGCCGCCCGCCGGCCACCACCUCACCGGCGAGAUGCUGACCUGCGGCCGCUUUAUCUCCUCCUCCGCUGCUACCAGCACCGCAUCCUUUUUCCCGUUUCGGACUCUCACUCGCUCCCUCGUUCGCCGCCCCGCUCCCCACCUCCUCUCCUCUGCCUCCGCCGCCGCCGCCACCGCCGUGGAACUCGACACCAAUGGAGACGGUAGUGCGGGAGGUGGUGCCGGUGUGGUGAGGCCGCAGUGGAAGGCCGCGAUUGAUUUCAAAUGGAUCCGAGACAACCGGGAUGCCGUCGCCGACAACAUCCGGACCCGGAACUCUACCGCCAAUCUGGACCUCGUCUUCGAGCUCUACGAUCAGUACCUCACACUGCAGAAGGUCUGGGGCUUGCCAAUGCCAGAGCUUUUUGUUGUAGCUGUUCGUGCUGUCUGACUGUGCUGCGCUAGAUUCGUUGAUGGAUAAGCUUGCGUUGUUGAGGGUCAGGUUCUAAUGCCUGGAUUUUGACUUGGCUGGCCGAGGGAUAUGUACUAGAUGGCAGAUGCGGACCUAGAACAAAAAUCCGAGGAGAGGCACCCUUCUAGUUCAUAAAGCCCGAGUACCAUGGCUAUACUAACAAACAAUCAGUGAAUCAGAUAUCAUAUAGGAUAACAGUUCCAUAUCAGUAUCACAGUUAAUUGAAUUUCUAAAGAUGAUCUUUUUUUUAUCGAACGCGCAGGAGAAUUGCACAUCUUAUAUAUUAGAGAGGAAUAAAAACCUUACAAAAAGGAGAUGUUGCUGAGCAAGUCUCCCAAGGACCCUACAUAAACCCGAAGGGAAUUACAAACUGGUACCGUAACUUGACCCAACCUCGCCCAGAGCUACAACUAAGCCAAGGCUCUCAAGCUCCUGCUAUUGCCCAGCUAACACACUCAUCUGAAAAACAUCUAAAAAUUCUAGAUAAGGAUGGAGACUCCCCAUGAAACACUGCUCUGUUUCUCUGAAGCCAUAGGCACCAAGCUCCCAGAAUGAUCAAAGAGUUAAGCCCCUUUUUCCUGGUCUUGAUAACCCUUAGGCUCACCUUUCCCCACCAGUCUGCAAAAGACUCCUCAUCAGCUGCCGGAGUGAGGUGCCCCAAGCCAAAAACAGCAAGAACUUUGUGCCAAAAUUGCCGGGCAAAAAUGCACGCAGUAAGGAGGUGCUGAAUUGUCUCUUGGGCUUGAUCACACAUGGGCAUACAUCUGGGUGUGACACCCCCCUCUUCUGCAACCUGUCAGCUGUCCAACACUUGUUCCUUAUCGCCAACCAAGGGAAAAACUUACAUUUAGAAGGGGCCCAGGUCUUCCAUAAUCUCUCCCAUGGCUCAAAAACAGUAGAGCCGAAGAAUAAGACAUUGUAACAGGAUUUAGAAGAAAACAGCCCCGAUGCCUCAUGUCUCCAAACAUGGUGGUCUUCCUCCUGAGAAAGCUGCACCUCACCUAAAGCAUCCCAUAAGAGAAGAAAUUGUUGAAUUCCAACCAAAGAAAUGGGGGGGGGGUUGAUAUUAGCUAUCCAUUGCCUGUUCUCAAGGGCCUGUUCUGCUGUCAUAGAGGUAAGAGCUCUUUUAUCAACCUUGGACACCACUUCUGGAGCAAGAUCUCUGAUGGAGCAUCCAUUUAGCCAUUUAUCUGUCCAGAAAAAGGUAUUAGAGCCAUUUCCCACAUGAGAAAUUAGAGAGGCUGCAAAAAGGGAAAAAUGAACACAAUAAAAUAUAACGCUACUGUCUACUUUUUUUAUAGGAAAAAAUGAAAGAUUUCUUUGCAUCAUUUUUCCGAAACAGCAUACCCUGAAGGAGUGCACAAACAUGUUACCAAUUAACGAUGGAAUCCAAUAAGGACUUAUGUUUAGGCAAUCUUGUAGCAUGCAGGUAUGGGAUUUAACUUGAACUCACUACAUUAUUUAUCUAAUAUCACUAAUUUCUUUUCUAGUAUUUUCUCAUGCUUACCUGCAAAAUUAUUGGAAUCAUAUAGACUCAGGAAUGCACAAACCACAAAGCACACCUAAAAUUGAUGGUUGUCUAUUGGCCUAGAUAACAUGAGCAUGAAAAUUUGAUACUAAUUUGGCAAAACCUUAAAACAAUUAAACAAGUUGCCUAUGCUUCACUUGCAACCAAAGUUGAAUUCCGAUGUAUUUGUUGCUGCACAUGGUGCUGCUUGUCCUUGGUGCUUUGGUGACGCGGCACAGGGUGGUGGCAUGACAGACAACUGCGGCUUGGUGUGGUAGGGUAGCAGACUAAAUCAGGAGAAGAGGUUGAGCUGAGUGAGGGCACCCUCCGUGGGCUGAGUCGAGGCACUGAUGAUGAAACUUUGGGCUGUAUAACUAAUUUAUGUAAGUUGAGUGGUGGCCCAGGCCCAAACUUUGGGUCUGCUCCUGCUAGAUGGUUGCUCUUUGCUAGGAUUUUCAUCUGAGCUUAUAUUAGAACUGCAAUUUUAGAUUUCCUACAAUAUGAUUGAUGAACUAGCCACGGUUUAACUCAUUUAGUAGUGUCUUGUCGGCAUGGCUGUUGUGUCUUCUGUAUUUGUCUUGGCAACAAAACUUAGAAACAGAACUCAAAAGGCUGAGCAUGGAUCAGGAUAGAAUAUUUCUAAUAGGACUUACCUUUUUUCUUUAGGACAUUUAACAGUUCCUUUAUCCAUUGAAUUUCCAUUCAAUCAGAUGCAAGCAGAUCCAAUGCUCACCAAAAAAUGGCUUUACAUUUUUAGAAAUCAAUUGUCAGUAAAAGUCAAAUCUAGGAAUUCAUACAUACACUGUACUUUUAUGGAGCUCUCUUUGAGGUAUACCGUAUUUUGCAUUACAUCAUGCAAUUAAUAUAUAGUUUCAAUUUUUUUUUCUCAAAUAUGCAGGAGAGCUGCGUAUCAUUAUAUUAAUAGGAGAAGAAAAAGGGCUAGAGCCCAGACAUAAAACAAGAAAACACACCCAAAACACACACCCUUGAACACACUCCUACACAAGCACCCAGGACACUUACAACCUUCUUGUUAAGGCCCAUAAGGCCCAUAUAUUAUUGUCUGCCUAUAUAUAUGCUACAGUACCCGAGGGGGUGAUCAUUCCGCCUAAUCAAGGUUAGUAACAUGGUAUCAGAGGAGGUCACGAUUAGGGUUUCUUAGAUUUUUUUUUAGCCACCAUCGUCUCCUCCCGGCCGCCGUCGCGGUCUUCCUUCGCCGCCGUCGCGGCCUUCCUUCGCCGCCGUCGCGGCCUUCCUUCGCCGCCGUCGCGGCCCUUCCUCCACCUGCGCCGCCCCUGUUCACAUCCGCCUCCGCGGAUCCCGUCUGCCCCGUCCGCCGUCGCGCAGAUCCAGCUGCUGCCCGUCCGCCGUCGCGGAAGCAGCCCCUUCCCGCCUCUGCCGCCGGUGGAUCUGGGCGGACCCGGGCGGACCCGCCCCUUCAUUCCUCUACCGCGGGCGUCCCUGGGCAGAUCCCGCCUGAGCUGCGCCCAGCCGCGAUUCCCUCUGCCGCGGGCGCCUCUGCCACGGGCGGAUCUGGGCGGACCCGCCCCUUCCUUCCUCUGCUGCGGGUGCCUCUGCCGCGGGCUUGUGCUGCGCCCAUCCGCGCCCUGCCCGCGUGAGCUGCGCCCAGCCGCGGUUUCCUCCAUCUCCGGCAGCCGUCAUCCGCCGUCCGCACCUGCCUCCGCCUGCUGCACGCCACAAACAGUUGCUGCAGAGAAGAUUUGUGCAACUGCCAUCGACCCGAUAAUCACGCCGCCGAUCUGCGCCACCGUCUGCUGCGCCCUGCCUCGUCGCCAUCAGACUGUCCAACUCGUCUUCCACGACCAGGAACUCCGUCAACUCGUCCAACUUUGGCUACUGUCAGCUGCGGUUCCUCCGGUUUGUUUGGUUUCCGGUCUCCUGUUCUUCCUGAUUUUCAUUGAAUUCAAUAUGGCGACAAAUGCUAUUGUGGUCAAUAUCACUCUUGAUGGCCAAAAUUAUCCAGAGUGGGCUUUCUGUGUUGAGACUGCACUCAGGGGACAUGGAUUACUCUUUCAUUUGACUGAUGCAGCACCAGUACUUGCGGAUGAUCGUCGCAAUGCUGCUGAUAUCAAAACAUGGCAGCUUAAUGAUGGUAAAGUGAUGGCUGCUAUGGUGAACAGUGUCAAACCGUCUAUGAUUAUGAGUUUGUCUAAAUUUAAAACUGCUAAAGCCAUCUGGUCUCAUUUGAAGGAGCGUUUUGUUCAGGACAGUGGUGCUCUAUUACACACUCUCAUGCAGCAGACACAUGUUAUUGAGCAAAAUGAUAUGAGUAUUGAUGAGUACUACUCAGCCUUUGAUCGUCUGAUGAGUGCUUUGACAUCUAUGGUGCCUGCUUGUACUGCUGAUCCGUGUCCGGCUCAUAAGUUUAUUGAGAAGUUCUUCACUUACAGAUUUGUUAUGGGCGUUCGGGCCGAGUUUGAUUCUCUUCGUGCUCGUUUACUUCAGGGUUCUGACACUCUCACAAUGGCUAAGGCGUUGUCUGAUUUACUUGCUGAAGAGACUCGUCUUAAUUCUCUGUCUUCUAUUGGUACUAAUACUCACAGUGUAUUGGCUGCUGCCCAGAAACCUAAGAAUGUUUUUAAGCCUUGUGAUCAUUGUGGCAAGACCAAUCAUCGAUCUGAGCUUUGCUUUGUAAAGUUCCCUGAGAAGUUGACUGAUUUCCGUGCACGACGUGCUGCUCGUGGCCGUGGUUCAGGACCAUCUACUAGAGGCUCAGUUGCUGUUGCUGCCACUUCGUCCGCUUGUACUUCAGAGUCGGCCUGGGUACUUGAUUCAGGAGCCUCCUUUCAUGUCACAUCUGAUCAGUCAAAGUUGGCUUCUACUACACCUGUCACAAAUGGUGCUUCAGUGCAGACAGCUGAUGGACCUUCGCACAGGGGAAGUGAUUGGGACUGGCUGUCGCCGUAGAGCUGCUCCUCGCCUCUACAUCUUGGACUCUUUGCGGCUUCCUUCCUUGGCUACAUCUUCGGCUCAUGUGCUUUCAGCUACCCUUGCUUCUGUUGCGUCUUUUGCCCAGUGGCAUCAUCGUCUAGGUCAUUUGUGUGGAUCUAGAUUGUCUACUCUAAUAAAGUCAGGUUGCUUAGGUCAUACUUCGGUUGAGUCUGAUUUUCAUUGUAAGGGUUGUCAUCUUGGAAAACAAAUACAACUUCCAUAUUUUACUAGUGAUUCUCAUUCUGUUGAACCCUUUGAUUUGGUUCACUCUGAUAUUUGGGGUCCUGCACCUUUUGUGUCAAAAGGUGGAUAUAGAUACUAUGUCAUUUUUAUUGAUGAUCAUUCUCGCUACACUUGGAUUUAUUUCAUGAAACGCCGCUCUGAGCUGAUUUCUAUUUAUAAAACCUUUGCUCGCAUGAUUCACACUCAAUUUUCCACUCAUAUUAAAACCUUUCGUUCUGAUUCUGGUGGUGAAUAUUUAUCUGAUACUUUCCGCCAGUUUUUGACUUCAGAGGGUACUCUUGCUCAGCUUUCUUGCCCUGGUGCUCAUGCACAGAACGGUGUGGCUGAACGCAAACACCGUCACAUUAUAGAAACUGCUCGCACUUUGUUGAUAUCUUCUUUUGUCCCUUCACAUUUUUGGGGUGAAGCAGUUUCUACUGCGGUUUACCUCAUCAAUAGACAACCAUCAUCCAAACUCUCUGGCAAAACGCCUGGUGAAGUUCUUUUCGGAACUCCUCCACGAUAUGACCACCUUCGAGUUUUUGGAUGUAUGUGUUAUGUACUAUUAUCACCUCGUGAACGUACUAAAUUGACUGCUCAAUCCGUUGAGUGUGUUUUUCUUGGAUACAGCCCUGAACAUAAAGGUUAUCGAUGUUAUGAUCCAUCUUCUCGUCGCAUGCGUAUUUCUCGAGAUGUGAGCUUCAAUGAAAAUCGUCCCUUCUUUUACAACUCUUCCACUCAUUCUUCUUUUUAUUCCACAGAGUCUACCUCCUUCAUGAGCCUUCCUCCCAUUUCUGAAACUUCAUCCGUAUCACCACCUACUGUUUCUACCCCAGAUGUCCUUAUUCCCAUCACACCACCUUCCACUUUCACACCAUCUCCGUCUUACUCUUCCAAACCACCUGUCACUCAGACUUACAUUCGUCGUCCUCGCUCUACUCCCACGGCCAGUCCUGAUGAUGAUCCUGUUGCUGAUACUUGUACUAACAAUGAUGACUCUCCUGUUGUUUUUAAUCAGGGGUAUCAUCUUCGUGACCGUGGCACUAUUGCAGCUCCCGAACGUUAUGGGUUUUCCCGUGCUGGUGCAGUCAUUGCUGAACCAUCAUCUUAUAAAGAGGCUUCUGGUAUACCUGAGUGGCAGCUUGCUAUGACUGAUGAAUUAAAUGCCCUUCAUCGCACAUGUACAUGGGAUGUUGUUCCGUUACCUGCUGGUGCUGUACCUAUCACGUGCAAAUGGGUCUUCAAGGUUAAAACCAAAUCUGAUGGGUCUAUUGAGCGAUAUAAAGCUCGUCUUGUGGCCAGAGGUUUUCAACAGACACAGGGUAUUGAUUAUGAUGAGACUUUUGCACCUGUGGCCCAUCUGACUACUGUCCGAGCUUUACUUGCUGUUGCAGCCUCAUCUUCUUGGACUAUCUCUCAGAUGGAUGUCAAAAAUGCUUUUCUUCAUGGUGAUUUACAUGAGGAAGUCUAUAUGCAUCCACCUCCUGGGAUCGAGGUUCCAUCAGGACAUGUAUGUCGUCUCCGUCGAGCCUUGUAUGGUCUCAAACAAGCUCCUCGUGCUUGGUUUGAGAGAUUUGUUUCUGUCAUCAAGGCUUGUGGUUUCUAUUCUAGUGAUCAUGAUCCUGCAUUGUUCAUUCAUGUUUCUUCACGAGGACGCACGUUGCUAUUACUAUAUGUUGAUGACAUGUUGAUUACAGGCAAUGAUCCAGACCAUAUUGCUCAUGUGAAGGCGUCUCUGAGUAAGGAAUUUCAAAUGUCUGACUUGGGGGCACUCAGUUAUUUCUUGGGUAUUGAGGUUUUGCAGACUCAAAAUGGUAUUUAUCUUUCUCAGGCCAAGUACAUACAAGACCUUCUUGAUCGUUCUGGUCUUAGUGAUACUCGCACUGUUGCCACGCCUAUGGAUCUUCACUUAUCUCUUCGUCCGACUGAUGGGACACCUUUGGAGGAUCCAUCUCGAUAUAGACAUCUUGUUGGCAGCUUGGUUUACCUUACUGUCACCAGGCCAGAUAUUGCUCAUGCGGUUCAGAUCUUGAGUCAGUUUGUCUCUGCUCCUACAUCAGUUCAUUAUGGGCACUUACUUCGUGUGCUUAGAUAUUUACGGGGGACAAAAACACAAUGUUUAUUUUAUGACUCAAAUUCCCCUCUUCAGCUUCAUGCUUACUCUGAUGCUACCUGGGCCAGUGAUCCUACAGAUCGUCGCUCCAUCACUGGUUAUUGUAUUCUUCUUGGAUCAUCCCCUGUUGCUUGGAAAUCCAAGAAGCAAGCUGCUGUAUCUAGAUCUAGUACUGAAGCAGAACUUCGAGCCCUGGCUACUACUACUGCUGAGAUUAUCUGGAUUCGUUGGCUCUUGGCUGAUUUAGGCGUUUCUUGUGACUCGCCUACACUUCUUCGCUGUGACAGUACUGGAGCUAUACAAAUUUGUCAUGAUCCAGUGAAGCGUGAACUCACAAAACACAUUGGUGUUGAUGUCUCAUUCACUAGAUCUCAUUGUCAUCAGAAGACCAUUGAUCUUCAAUAUGUGCCCUCAGAAUUACAGCUUGCGGAUUUCUUCACAAAAGCACAAACUAGGGCACAACAUCAGUUUCAUCUACUCAAACUCAAUGCUUCAAAUCCUCCACUUCCGCCUUGAGUUUGACAGGGGGUGUUAAGGCCCAUAAGGCCCAUAUAUUAUUGUCUGCCUAUAUAUAUGCUACAGUACCCGAGGGGGUGAUCAUUCCGCCUAAUCAAGAUGGCAGGAGGUUGAAAGGCUCCGAGCUGAAAGAAAUGCGGUUGCCAACAAGAUGAAAGGGAAACUAGACCCAUCUGUUCGCCAAGCCCUUGUUGAAGAAGGUAAGAACCUGAAAGAGGGACUUAUAGCACUCGAGGAGGAUCUUGUUCAGCUGACAGAUAAGCUUCAACUUGAAGCUCAAAGUAUUCCUAACACUACCCAUCCAGAUGUUCCUGUUGGGGGUGAGGAAAGCUCUGUCCUCAGGAAAGAGGUAGGCAGUCAGAGGAGCUUCAAUUUUGCAAUCAAAGAUCAUCUUCAGCUGGGGAAGGAACUUGAUUUGUUUGACUUUGAUGCAGCAGCCGAGGUCAGUGGUUCGAAGUUCUACUACUUAAAGAAUGAAGCUGUUUUGUUGGAGAUGGCCCUAGUAAACUGGGCUAUUUCAGAGGUCUCCAAGAAGGGUUUCACACCACUCAUAACUCCAGAGAUCGUAAGAUCAUCUGUUGUUGAGAAAUGUGGCUUUCAGCCAAGGGCCAAAAACACUCAGGUAUACUCAAUUGAGGACAGUGAUCAGUGUCUCAUAGGCACAGCGGAAAUUCCUGUUGGAGGCAUCCACAUGGACUCAAUACUUGCCGAAUCCGCUUUGCCUUUAAAAUAUGUAGCAUAUUCACACUGUUUUCGCACAGAAGCAGGUGCAGCAGGUGCUGCCACUAGGGGCCUCUAUCGGGUACAUCAAUUUAGCAAGGUUGAGAUGUUCAUAUUCUGUCGGCCAGAGGAGAGUGGAAAAUGGCAUGAAGAACUUAUUACAAUUGAAGAGGAUCUUUAUGCAUCACUUGGACUUCAUUUCAAAACUCUGGACAUGGCAACUGGGGAUCUGGGUGCACCAGCCUACCGGAAAUUUGAUAUCGAGGCGUGGAUGCCCGGCCUAGAGCGUUAUGGUGAGAUCUCCAGUGCAUCAAAUUGUACCGACUACCAAAGUAGGCGACUAGGCAUCCGUUACCGCCCAUCACCCUCGGAGCCUCCAUCAACGAGCACCAAGAAAGGGAAGGGAGCUGCCUCAGGCCCUACGCAGUUCGUCCACACGCUCAACGCUACAGCAGUGGCGGUGCCUCGUCUGAUAGUUUGCAUUCUAGAGAAUUUUCAGCAGGGCGAUGGGUCGAUUGUGGUUCCAGAGCCACUAAGACCCUAUAUGGGUGGACUAGAGUUGCUCUCCCCAAAAUUCAAGUGACCCUCUACGGUCACCCGCUGUUGUGCUUGUGUGGACUUAGAACUGUCUGGCUGAAGUACAAGUUAAAGGAAGGUCAUUUCUCACUACAAAUAUACACUACUGAGUUUCGUGAUUGGGGCUUCUGUUUCAUAA